rnacentral:rRNA from 1 species
GACGAACGCUGGCGGCGUGCCUAAUACAUGCAAGUUGAGCGCUGAAGGUUGGUACUUGUACCAACUGGAUGAGCAGCGAACGGGUGAGUAACGCGUGGGGAAUCUGCCUUUGAGCGGGGGACAACAUUUGGAAACGAAUGCUAAUACCGCAUAAAAACUUUAAACACAAGUUUUAAGUUUGAAAGAUGCAAUUGCAUCACUCAAAGAUGAUCCCGCGUUGUAUUAGCUAGUUGGUGAGGUAAAGGCUCACCAAGGCGAUGAUACAUAGCCGACCUGAGAGGGUGAUCGGCCACAUUGGGACUGAGACACGGCCCAAACUCCUACGGGAGGCAGCAGUAGGGAAUCUUCGGCAAUGGACGAAAGUCUGACCGAGCAACGCCGCGUGAGUGAAGAAGGUUUUCGGAUCGUAAAACUCUGUUGGUAGAGAAGAACGUUGGUGAGAGUGGAAAGCUCAUCAAGUGACGGUAACUACCCAGAAAGGGACGGCUAACUACGUGCCAGCAGCCGCGGUAAUACGUAGGUCCCGAGCGUUGUCCGGAUUUAUUGGGCGUAAAGCGAGCGCAGGUGGUUUAUUAAGUCUGGUGUAAAAGGCAGUGGCUCAACCAUUGUAUGCAUUGGAAACUGGUAGACUUGAGUGCAGGAGAGGAGAGUGGAAUUCCAUGUGUAGCGGUGAAAUGCGUAGAUAUAUGGAGGAACACCGGUGGCGAAAGCGGCUCUCUGGCCUGUAACUGACACUGAGGCUCGAAAGCGUGGGGAGCAAACAGGAUUAGAUACCCUGGUAGUCCACGCCGUAAACGAUGAGUGCUAGAUGUAGGGAGCUAUAAGUUCUCUGUAUCGCAGCUAACGCAAUAAGCACUCC